rnacentral:rRNA from 1 species
UCGUGGAGCGAUUUGUCUGGUUUAUUCCGAUAACGAGCGAGACUCUAGCCUGCUAAAUAGUUGAGGCAUUCCUUGUGUGUGCCCACAACUUCUUAGAGGGAUUUUCGGCGUUCAGCCGCACGACAUUGAGCAAUAACA